rnacentral:rRNA from 1 species
AAUAGAUACCCUGGUAGUCCACGCCGUAAACGAUGAGUGCUAAGUGUUAGAGGGUUUCCGCCCUUUAGUGCUGCAGCUAACGCAUUAAGCACUCCGCCUGGGGAGUACGGUCGCAAGACUGAAACUCAAAGGAAUUGACGGGGGCCCGCACAAGCGGUGGAGCAUGUGGUUUAAUUCGAAGCAACGCGAAGAACCUUACCAGGUCUUGACAUCCUCUGACAACUCUAGAGAUAGAGCGUUCCCCUUCGGGGGACAGAGUGACAGGUGGUGCAUGGUUGUCGUCAGCUCGUGUCGUGAGAUGUUGGGUUAAGUCCCGCAACGAGCGCAACCCUUGAUCUUAGUUGCCAGCAUUUAGUUGGGCACUCUAAGGUGACUGCCGGUGACAAACCGGAGGAAGGUGGGGAUGACGUCAAAUCAUCAUGCCCCUUAUGACCUGGGCUACACACGUGCUACAAUGGAUGGUACAAAGGGCUGCAAGACCGCGAGGUCAAGCCAAAUCCCAUAAAACCAUUCUCAGUUCGGAUUGUAGGC